UAAAAACAAGAAGCAAUAUUAAUUUCUUUUGAAUGAAUUCACUGGACUGAUGACUCUGACAGAAGACAGUCACAGUGUACAUAUGGUUCUAUGGUGGUGAUGGGUGUUGAAAAAUUCAUCUUCUUCCCAAUAGGAAUAUGCGAAAAGAAGUUAAUAGAAAUAAUACUUACUGAGAGAAAAUUGGGAGGUCCCCUCUUUUUGUUCUUUGCAACAAGAUUUAACCUUGAGGACAACCCAUCCCAACGUCUCAUUCACCCCAUUAAAAAUCGCUUUCAGAAGUCCUUUUCUCAUCUCUCUCUUCAGUGCGCUCAUCACUCACAUGAAAGAAGAAAUGAAUGGUUAAUGGAGUCUGAGUGAUUCCCUUCUUUAGUCUUCUCUUUUGCUUCUUCAAUAUAAACCACCCACAAAACUAUACACAUAAAUACAGAGCUAAUUAGAGAGAGAAUAUAAUACUAGUAUAAAGAGAGGGAGAGAGAGAGAGGGGGUGGGGGGUGGGGAGAUUAGUGUAAAGUGUUUUGCUAAUGGAGCAAGGGUGGUUUUUUACUUUAUAAAUACCCUUCUCUUAGAGCUACUACCUUCCAUAUUCUGCAUCUCUACUGUGUAGAUUUUAGCAAAGAAGAAGAGAGAAAGCAUAGGCAGAAACCUUUGUUUCUGUCCUUAAUUAUCUUCUCCCCCUUGUUUCCUCACCAGGUCGGUCUGCAAAAAACUGAAACAUCAUCUGAUCAUCACUUUUCAAUGCUUCACCUCUUUUGGGGCUGUCAGUUUUUUCACUUCAAAUCUUAGAGUUCCACGUUAAUAAGCUCCUUCUGAUCGAUGAGAAGCAGUAGGAGAAGGAAGGAAAAAUUGGAAUCCUACAAGUUGUAAGAUUCCAGGGUUUUCCUUUCUUUUCCCACGACUUCUCAGCGACAACUGGGAGAGUAAAUGUUAAAAUUUAUCAUUUUAUGGACCCAUUUUUUGCUGUUUGAUUCAGCCAGCAACCACGGAUUUCCAAAACCAAUCGAGGGAGGUCUCCCCCCAGAGAAAAAUGGGAAGGGGGAAGAUCGAGAUCAAGCGGAUCGAAAACACCACUAACCGGCAGGUUACUUUCUGCAAGCGCCGCAACGGCUUACUCAAGAAGGCCUAUGAAUUAUCUGUCCUAUGUGAUGCAGAGGUAGCCCUCAUCGUCUUCUCCAGCCGCGGCCGCCUCUACGAAUAUGCCAACAACAGGUAUUGUAUUACUGUUUAAUUAAUUAAUUUCUCCUUGUUGAUCCUUUGUUUUCUUUUCUCAGCUUCUUCUAAGGUUUUGUUUUUCCCUUUUUGAAGGCCUACAAUUUAUUAAGUUAGAAUUAUGGUUCCUGGUUGCCAAGAUUUGAGCUCCUGCAAUAGAUCUUUAGGUGGAUUCAAGCACAAGAACAUAAUCAUUCUUCCUGCAGUUAGAGAUUUGAGUUUCUCUCUAACAAAGAUUCAUUUUUUUUUCUUUCCAUUUUGUUUUUUUCCCUCUGUGAGCUUUAUGGGUUUUCUUCUUUUUUGUGAUCCUUUUUUAGUUCAUAGUUUGUUGGAUACAUAGAUCCGUGGUAAUAGAUAGAAAUGGAAGGCUUACUGUUGUAGUAUAUAUGAACAAGUAGAGAUUUUGGGAAGGUAUGCAGGUCUGUGAGAUCAGCCUCUUAUCUCCUCCAUUGUUGUUAAAAUUUGCUGUUUCCUUUAUCUUUUUCUUCCAUUAUUCCUGUCUCUCUCUCUCUCUCUCUGGUACAUGUCAUGUGUAUGAGGUUAAGAAAGCGUAGAACAAAGCUGUCACUCUCUCAUUAGCCCAUUUCUCUCCAUCUCCUUGACACUUCCUUAAUAUCACGUCAGUUGAAAAUUACACACAUAAAGAAAAUAGAAGUACUAUGAGAAAGUUGUCACGUACCAUUUUUUCAAAAACCACAUUAGGGUUUCGAAAACAACUCAAAUGGGUUUCUCUUCAAACAUGUUAGAUCACCCUUUUCCAAGUUUCCAACCAACCACCGUCGUAAUGGGUCACAACCCAUCACACCCAGAUUAGGGUUUUUCCUAAUCCGCACGAUAUCUUCAAUGAUUUUUCUCAUCUCACGAUUUUUAAACACGUGAAAGACUACCACCAUUCACCAGUCAAACAAACCCAAAUUCGGUUUUAAUAGCAACCACAUGAGGUUUCUCAACUGGUUCCCAACUCUUAAUCUGGUAUUCCUUAGAACAAGUAAAAGACGCUUCCACAGCCAAUCAAACCAACCUAGGGUUUUCACUCAGUUUUGGAUUUUUUCCCGCUCCACAGAACAUGUGCUGGCUGGGGGUUCUGGUUAGGAAUCAACAGCAGAUUAGGUGGUGGGUGAUGAGUGAUGGUGGACCUGGUGGCGUAGUUUCUUAGUUACAGAAUCUUGGGUCACGUCACGCACGAUUUUUCAGUUCUUAAGACUUCUGACAAAAGAGUGGUCUCAUGAUUCCAAUAUUGGGGUUCUCUUUUUUUCAUCAAUCCGAACCCUAAUUUUAUCUCCAAAGGUGAAAACAGUCUCAUGGGUUUGCAUUUCUUGUGCUUAUAUAUACAUCUCUUUGGCUUUCUGGGUUGAACCUUUCACAAAGCCUCGGUAGCCCAAACACCAAAGAGAGCUGAGACAGAGUGAAAGAGAGAGUUGCACCAAUGAAAUUGCCUCUUCUGAGACUCGUCAUCAUCUCCCCACUGUAAGCACCAGUGAAUGAAAUUUGCGUUUGUUGAAGAUCUUGCAUAGAUAUAUUUAUGCAAGACCUUAGAGAGAGAAACAACGUACGAGCUCUCUGAGAGAGCCAAUGAGAGAGCUCUGAGCAUUUUGCUUCUUUCAUGCAUGGGAAACGUACAACAUUGGCUGCUCCUGAAUUGGACGGCUCUGAUCUGCUGUCCUUAGUCUUACACAUGACAGAAAAGACUCAGUUUUUAUUUCCUUUGAUCUAAAAAACCAUUUUUUUGAAUUCACCGAGGUGGGUAAAAGGACAAGGUUGAGGCGAUUACCCACUGGGUAACUGGGUUUCGGACACGUGUCUGAGAUCUGAGCGUUGAAAUGGUCCAGCCAAUCAUAGUGUGGAAACCAGUUCCAACGUGGCAGAGACAGCCAAUCAGUGGCUCGACGAAUUUAAGGUAUCAGCACUCGAGGAAAGAGAAGUCCUUUUUUCAGUGAUUUCAUAUUUUAAUAUAGAAAAUAUUAAGUUACAUCAAGUCACAUUCAAUAUUGAGUUGAGCCUCUGCCUCUUUCAAACACACUCCACAUUUUUUCAUUUUGUUAAUUAGCUUUACGUAUUGGAUUCAGUUAACUGAGGGAGUUGGUUGAUUUGACCGUUAACAAAGCCUCUCCUUCUGUAGUUUUUUAAGUCCAUAAUUAUGUCUCUUAUGCAGUACGGUACACGUGGCAGAAAUUUAAAUUUAAAUCAACAGAAAAGUUGAUGAUUUUUUGGAGCUUGUUAAUGAAAAAUAAUGUUGCAGUUGAGAUGGCAAAAGUGUAUAAGAUAAGAACAGACAAAUAAAGAGUUCUUAUUUUUUAUGAUUGUUUCUUCAUAGCAAUAUUUCUCUUCUUAAUUUCUUUAAAGAUAGAAGCAUUGAUAUUUGCCAUUGCAGGACAUGUUCUUUUAGAAACAUCCUAGGGUUAAACACCAUAGCUGCCUAUGUUUGACAUAAAUCAAUCUAUGAGGUCGAUCUGGCCCAUAGUCAUUCAAUGAUUUGUGGAUGCUCUAAUGUUUGCUGUUAUUGUUUGUUCCUACAUUUCUCUUUUGCCUUCUGAAAAAUUUCUUCUCUUAGAAUUACAAAAAUGAUGGCUAUAUCAUAUGGUGACGUCUUAAAGUUUAUACUAGAUAUUCCACUUAACUAAUACUCUAUGACAGCAGUGUUAAAUCAACAAUUGAGAGGUAUAAGAAGGCAAGCGCUGAUUCCUCCAACACCGGGUCCGUUUCUGAAGCCAAUGCUCAGGUGUGUGUUUCAUUAACUCCUUAUGCUGAUGGGAGUUGUUAUUUCCAUGGAAAGAUUGAUAAAAGCUUCUUCCAUUUGAUGUGAAUUAAUGGUUGCACUUGAAUUUUGAAAGAGAUAAUGUAAAUUAUGGGCAUAAAUGGGAGAUUACCAAGGAAUGCAUGUGAUUAAACUGAUAAUUCAAUGUGGUAAAUCUUGAUAGAAGAUCAUGAAAGUUAGUUGAAAUUGGGUUGAGUGGGAUCCGAGCAGAAUAUGAUAAACCUUUGAACUGAUGGAUUUUCUGGUUAGGUUACCAUAACCCACUUCAAAUUCAUGAAAAUGAUCAAAUUUCUAGUUUUAACCUAAAACUUUCACUUGCCCAUCAUAUAGAGCAGCAUCUUAUAAUUUUGUGUGGCUCCAUCAAAUGCAAUUCUUUUUUCAUGAGCUUCAAAUAUAGUCAUUGCCUGCCAUUUUCAUUUUAGUUUGGUGAGUUUUCUCUAGUCUGCUAGCAUAUGUUUUCUGACUUCUAAGCCAUUAUAUUCAAGGAAGAACGGCUUUUUAGGAUGACAAAUUUGUGGAUGCAUUUGUUAAAUAAAGUUCAGUCAUACAAAUUUAAUCAUAUUUUCUCAUACAUGGAAAUACAUCUCAGUUCUACCAGCAAGAAUCCUCCAAACUGCAUCAGCAGAUUCGUAAUUUGCAGAAUUCGAACAGGUAAUCUUAAGGAAUAUUUAUUUUGUUUCAUACAAAUUUGAUGCAUUUACCUUUUCUUUCACAACCCAUAUUUCCAGGCACAUGCUGGGUGAGUCUCUGGGCUCCUUGAAUUUCAAGGACCUCAAGAGCCUG
rnacentral:lncRNA from 1 species